AACGAACGCUGGCGGCAUGCCUAACACAUGCAAGUCGAACGAGACCUUCGGGUCUAGUGGCGCACGGGUGAGUAACGCGUGGGAACCUGCCCUUAGGUUCGGAAUAACUCCCCGAAUGGGGUGCUAAUACCGGAUAAUGUCUUCGGACCAAAGUUUUAUCGCCUUUGGAUGGGCCUGCGUUGGAUUAGCUAGUUGGUAGGGUAAAAGCCUACCAAGGCGACGAUCCAUAGCUGGUCUGAGAGGAUGAUCAGCCACACUGGGACUGAGACACGGCCCAGACUCCUACGGGAGGCAGCAGUGGGGAAUAUUGGACAAUGGGCGAAAGCCUGAUCCAGCAAUGCCGCGUGAGUGAUGAAGGCCUUAGGGUUGUAAAGCUCUUUUACCCGGGAUGAUAAUGACAGUACCGGGAGAAUAAGCUCCGGCUAACUCCGUG
rnacentral:rRNA from 1 species